CUCCGGCUGUGCCCGGUUUGGGCUGCAGGGAUGGCGAGUGCCUGCCUGCUUUACCCACGCCGCUGCUGCUCGGACGCCAACUCUGAGCACCCGGGGGUCCGCACCCUGCCAUCGCCCAGGAAAACGAGGAAAUUUGUUUCUAUAUCUUGUCUUUGGACGAACAUCUCUCUCAGCGGUGGACGUCUGAUUUCCAGCAGUCUCACUUGGAAGGGGCAGAGGAAGAAUUUUUGGCUUUCCAGAUGGAUGAUGUUUCCCAGACUCUGAGACUGAACAACACUUACCCUGCAAUUAAGCACCUACAUAGGAUGGAUGAAAUAUGACAGAUAUUCAAUUGAAGUUCAUAGUUGACUUUAAAUGAAAGAGAGAAAACCGAGUUCCAGGAAUGAAGGUCUGAAUGGUUGCUGUGAUUUGAAGAGGUCCCCUCCAAAAUCCACGAAUGGCCAGUGGGAUAGUAUUAAGAAGCAGGGCCUCUAAGAGGUCAUUAGAUCAUAGGAGCCGGAGACUCAGAGAUCUGGCUCUCCCUGCAGUUGCCCGGCACUGUGGCAUGCCAUUGAUGGAAUUAAGGACUUUCUGAAAGCAGCUUCAUGCAGCAUUUGAUUAACUCGAUCUUCUACCUUCUGCUACAGGAGGCUGAAGCAAGAAUACCCUCACCAGAAACCAAAUGCUAACACCUUGAUCUUGGAUUUCUAACUUUCAGAAUUGUGAGAAUUA